rnacentral:rRNA from 1 species
AGAGUUUGAUCAUGGCUCAGAGUUAACGCUGGCAGCGUGCAUAACACAUGCAAGUCGAGCGGGUUCUGGCAGAGUAUCGCUAGGAUUAGCGGCAGACGAGUGAGUAACACGUAAGAAAUCUGCCCCGAAGCAGGGGACAACUUGCCGAAAGGCGAGCUAAUACCCUAUAUAAUCCCACGAUGGCAUCUUUAUGGGAUGAA